UACAGAGGGUGCAAGCGUUAAUCGGAAUUACUGGGCGUAAAGCGCACGUAGGCGGUUUUAUAAGUCUGAUGUGAAAGCCCCGGGCUCAACCUGGGAAGUGCAUCGGAUACUGUAAGACUUGAGUACGGGAGAGGGCAGUGGAAUUCCUAGUGUAGGAGUGAAAUCCGUAGAUAUUAGGAGGAACACCGGUGGCGAAGGCGGCUGCCUGGACCGAUACUGACGCUGAGACGCGAAAGCGUGGGUAGCAAACAGGAUUAGAUACCCCUGUAGU
rnacentral:rRNA from 1 species